rnacentral:rRNA from 1 species
UACGGAGGAUCCAAGCGUUAUCCGGAUUUAUUGGGUUUAAAGGGUGCGUAGGCGGGUAAUCAAGUCAGCGGUGAAAGUUUGCGGAUCAACCGUAAAAUUGCCGUUGAAACUGGUUACCUUGAGUGUAGAUGAGGUGGGUGGAAUUCGUGGUGUAGCCGUGAAAUGCUUAGAUAUCACGAAGAACUCCAAUUGCGUAGGCAGCUCACUGGGCUACAACUGACGCUGAGGCACGAAGGUGCGGGGAUCAAACAGGAUUAGAUACCCCGGUAGUCCCUGA